UAAACCCUCUUUAUCUUGCUCUUCUCGCACUGCAGCAUCUACAUUCACUUUAAAGUGCCCUGCUGGAGGUGGUUUCCACUGUUGACUGCUAAUGGCUUUCUUUCCCAGAUUUGAUUGUAACUCAGGCUGCCUGAUUUUUUUGUAUGAAUUCACUACAGCUUCAGCUCUUGCAACUGAUAUCUGGGGAUCUUCCAUUUUGUUCCUGAGAAUAUGAAGAUUCCUUGAGUGCCAAAC
rnacentral:lncRNA from 1 species